GGUUCUAUCAAUGUAACCAAAGGUAAAUUCCUCCUUGAUAUUCCUCAUAUAAUUAAUUAUUAUAAAUUAAUGGAAAUUUUGGUAUGCUAGAUCAAAAUGCAACCAAUUAAAUUGGCAAUUUUAUUUCCCGACAAAUAAUGAAUUUGAUUUUCUGUAAAGUAAACAGCGAAAUGAAAAAUCAUAGUUUAUUAGAUUUAGGCAAAAAUGACAGGAUAGCAAACUUUGUUAUGCAGGUGU
rnacentral:misc_RNA from 1 species